rnacentral:lncRNA from 1 species
CGGAGAGGUGAGACUGUGGUCUGUGGGAGGGUUCGACGGAGAGAGAGAGAGGUGGACUGUGGUCUGUGCCUCUGUGGGAGGGUUCGACGGAGAGACUGUGGUCUGUGCCUCUGUGGGAGGGUUCGACGAGAGAGAGAGAGGUGGGAUUGUGGGAGGGUUCGACGGAGAGAGAGAGAGAGGUGCCUGCUUCGAUCGAUAGGCCACCCCUACUCAGGGCUUGAGGUUGAGGGGGAUGGAGUGAUAGACUGGUGGUGGUGGCGCCGGAGGAGGGUUUGGUGGUAGGGUUUAUAGGGUGGGGGGAGGAUAGAGCGAGUGAGGCAUACCGAUUGAGAGGGCGCCUCUGAAAUCAGCGGCGACGAGGUCGGGUACGGCGAUCUUUGGAUCUUAGCGGAGAGGGUGAGUCCGACCGAGAUCGACN